rnacentral:tRNA from 1 species
GUCCCCAUCGUCUAGCCGGCCUAGGACACCGCCCUUUCACGGCGGCAACUGGGGUUCGAAUCCCCAUGGGGACGCCA